rnacentral:rRNA from 1 species
UGUGACCUCAAAUCAGGUAGGACUACCCGCUGAACUUAAGCAUAUCAAUAAGCGGAGGAAAAGAAACUAACAAGGAUUCCCCUAGUAACUGCGAGUGAAGCGGGAAAAGCUCAAAUUUAAAAUCUGGCGGUCUUUUGGCUGUCCGAGUUGUAAUCUAGAGAA